UACGGGGGGGGCAAGCGUUGUUCGGAAUUACUGGGCGUAAAGGGCUCGUAGGUGGCCAACUAAGUCAGACGUGAAAUCCCUCGGCUUAACCGGGGAACUGCGUCUGAUACUGGAUGGCUUGAGUUCGGGAGAGGGAUGCGGAAUUCCAGGUGUAGCGGUGAAAUGCGUAGAUAUCUGGAGGAACACCGGUGGCGAAGGCGGCAUCCUGGACCGACACUGACACUGAGGAGCGAAAGCAUGGGGAGCAAACAGG
rnacentral:rRNA from 1 species